CCCAGCUCCUACACAAGGGCAGCAGUCAUCUCCGGUCCAGGGAGCUCUUCUGGAGGUUUUUGCAAGUAGAUUCUAGAGAACUGAGAGAACAAGAAGUCUUCCCCACUCUGGGCACAUGGAAUCUUCAUUCAAAGAGUUUGGUUUGAAUUGAGAGCUCUCAGUUUUGCAUAUCAGGUAACUAUGAUGUGAAAAGAUGAAGCGGCCUCU
rnacentral:lncRNA from 1 species